GGGGCACCCACAGCAGGAGCACCCAAGGUCGUCCAGAAAGGAGAGGUCAGGAGAGGCACGAAACUGGGCACAGAAGGACCAGAAUGAGAUGGGAAAAUGAAGGGUCUCUCGGAACUUUCUCUCCCUUUCUGGACGGUGCGGUGUGAAGUUUUGAGGUCUGCGACGGCUGGAAGGGACCAGAACUGCCAGGACUAUUGCACCGCGUCCGAGGGUAACACUCACAUUGUGAAAGGCAGUGCAGAGAGGCAGAGAGGAAACGGAUCGAGCUGAUAUUGUCUGAGUUGUUGGAUCAAUCCUCACCUCAAGCUAGAUGGCUGUGAAUUUUACAAUUUUACGAGCCAAUAAAUUCCUAUUAUUGUUUAAACCA